rnacentral:lncRNA from 1 species
UGGAAAUUGUUGUAAAUUAUGUAGCCAUCUUGAGUUAUAAUUAUAACAGCAAUUAUCAGCAAAAGGAGUAACCGAUUUGGAUGAAGAGUAAACACUCGACAGAAGUUGAUGGAGCAUAGCAGAGUUUUGGUCAAUGGAGCCUGCCUGCUGCUAAAGUCUGAUCUUCAUAGCUCCCUAGACCAAAGACAAAUUGAAGCCGAAGAAGGAAACUGAAUUUCUGCAAUGAUAAAGAAAAGCUAAGAUUUAUUAGCAUUUUGAUGAUGUACACAUAUACAGUUAUUCUUAAUAACUUUUUGCAAAAUCAACCAUUAAAUUAUAUAAUAUUGUUUUAUAUUUUUGGUGUAAAAUGUUUUGGUAUUAUUCAAAUUUGAUUUUUAACAUUAAUUAUUAUUGGCUAGAGUUUUCUUAUCUUUCGACCAAGCUUCAAAUUAAUCAAAAAAAAAAAAUUCUUCUCUAUAAACUGGAAGGUUAAGACAAAAAAAUAUUUUCUUGAUGAUAAUUCAUAUAUAAAAUAAAUUGAAUAUUCACGUCAAUAGAUACGUAAUCUUAUGUUCAACGUUAACUUAAUUUUGAAAUAAAUUUUGUAAACUAGAUUUAUUUAAUGCGAAUAAUCAAAUCAACAGCUUAAUUAAUAAAAUUUAAUGUAAAAAGUUUAUUAAGGAUAGUAAGUUAAACAUGACUUACACUAUGUUUUUUCUUUACAGACUUACACCGUGUUAGAUCAUACAAAACAUGAAUAUUAACGUAACAUAUGUAUAUGAAGUCAUUUGUCGCUGUACACACGCGCGCGCAUAUAUAUAUAUAUAUAUAUAUAAAGUCAUUAUAUGAUUUAAGGUGAGAUAUUUAACACAUUCAUGUUUAUCAACACUUGCCUUUAGUUAUUUAUUAUUUCCACUGCUAAAUAUAAUUAGCUUGUUAUUCUAUACCUUUAUUAACACUGAUCUUUUUACUGGUUACAUUUGAUUAUUUAUUUAUUUUAAUAUUUGUUAAUAUAAAUAAAUUUAUGAUCAUGUUAUUAUUAUGAAAACAAAAAAAGGAGAAAAAAAUAAGGAUAGAUAAUGAAAUUCGCCCCCAAAAUGUGAUACAAUGAUACAAAAAUAUAAAUUUAAUCCCUAAAUCCAACACCCCCACUACCUAUUCAAGUAAUGCUUGGUAUUUUUCAAAUUCAACUUUUUCUUUCUUUUACCUCUCAUUUCCAAUUCCAUUUUCAUUAUUAAUCAUGAGUUGGGUUGUUUCUUUUUUGGAAUUAUGAAGUUCGAAGAAUGGAUGGAGAUCUAUCUGUUCGAAGAAUGGAUGGAGAAGAAAUAGAUGGUUUUAAAUUUUGGCAGCUAUAUAUAAACAGUAAGAAAUCGUUAAAUAUUUCUUAAAUGAGUUAUCAAGCAUUUUUUGACCGUUAAAGCUGUCAAAAAUUAACUUCUGAAAAAAAUAACACAUGACUAUCAUAAAAACUGUCACACCAUCGUUUAAAAGCUUAAUAAUGGAGACUAAAAAUAAAAAAUUUAAAAAGUUGAAAGACUGAAAAUAUAGUUAAUUCUAAUAAUAAAAAAAAUUAUUGGUGAGUAUCCCUUUAUUAUAAUUAGUUCUUCAAAUACAUCACUUUUUUUUUACUAAAACAAACUUAAUUUUAUCAUUUUAUUCAAAAUAAUGGCAUCAAUACAACUGGGAGCAUUAUCAAAAGAUUGUGAGCUACCGUAAAAUCUAGACACCCAAGCUAAUGAACGAGCAAUUCGAUUGACUUGGCUACGAACAAAACUCACGGUUGAGUUGUUAAUGGAAACUAGUUUUUAUUUACAUUGGGAUAAAAUAUAACCAGAUUCAUAAUGUAUAGGAUGAUAGGACUUCAAAUACAUUACUCUUAUAUUGCACAUGAUGGCUUCUGAAAUUUGGUUCUAGAUUUACGUAUCAGAAUUUUGAUAGGUAUAGUAUAUAAUACCAACUUGGCACCCGUACUAUCAUAGAAAAAUAGUAGAUUUUAGACUAAUGUAUUGCACAAAUUUAUUUAUAUUAUAUUUUUAAGUAUUUUAGUGUCUUUUAUUUUCAUUUCAGUAGUUUAUGAUUAUUAAGAAAUUAUUAACACAUAUAAAUAAUAAUUCUGAUAAAUAAAUAUUCUUUAUAAUAAUUAAAUUAAAAGAUACAAGGUUUGAAAUUAUUGUUGUAGCCAGAUCAAACACAUUCAAGUAUAGAGUGUAAUUUGUCUAUUUAGGUCAAACAUUAGGAUUUUAUAUAGGGGUGUCUUGUAAUGAGCCAAUUUGAUAUUCUCAUGAGUCACGAGGAUCUAUUAUAUAUGAUCUAUCCAUUACUCUGAGAUCCCUGAACAUGUAUCUGAAGAAGGUGGGGUUGCUUGUAAGCCAAGGACUUGAUGACGUGUCUUGUUAGAUGUUCAAAUAUCAAUAUGUUAAAGAUAAAUUGUCACGCGUCUUUUAUGAAUCCUAUACAAUAAACAUCAUAUAGAUAAUGUGAUAAAUAAUUAAAAUAAUCAGUAAAAAUAUAGGUAAUUAUAUUUCUACGAAACUUAUCUAAAGAUUCUCAAUAAUUAAACAAAUAAAUUUUACUCAUUUUAAGAACAUAUAUAUGAUUUCUAGGAUUCAUGAUUUUCGGGAAUGAAAAAAAAUUCUUCAUUACCAAACGUCUCCUUAGGUGUUUAUGCAGAAAAUUAUUGAAACGUGACCAUGUAAAUUGUGAUUGACCAGUUUUCUUGGAGUCUAAAAUUUCGAGUAGCUUUUACCAUGCAAAUGACAUUCGGAUUAGAAGCAAAGGUUUCUCAAGGGGAAAAAGUGUGCCAAAUAAGAAUCUUUCAAAGAAAAAGAUCCAAUUAGAAUGCAAUGCAAUGCAAGACGUUAACGUAUAACACAAGAUUUGGAAAGAAAGAAAGAAAGAAAUAUAAAUGAACACGUACGUUGGAACCUGAUGAUAAUUGAUGAGCAAAUGGAAGAGAGGGAGAGGAGUCUGGUGGUAUUGAGAGGGAACCCCAGAAUCAGAGAUGACAGAGGCAUACCCAUUCUGUUUCGUAUCUGCCGAACAACCUCACUGAAAGUGUCGCACUUAUCGGAAACACUCUCAGUCCCAUUGUUUGGCGGGAACGAGACAUAUGGCAGAAACUACCGAGGAAGAGAAGGAGAAGCAACGCUUCUGCAUUCAUCGUCGACGACCCAAGAACUCUCAUAAUUGCGUUACCACGAUGGGUGGAUUGCUACUUUAUUAUGACUUCAACGUUGAAUGAUCC